CGCCCAACAGCUAGCCCACCCACCAACCCCAAAUUUACCCUAUCUAUACCCCUAAACACACCACUACCCAACAAACAAACCAUUUUCCCACCUAAGUACGGGCGACGAAAAAGGAUCUAGGAGCAACAGAAAAAGUACCGCAAGGGAAAGCUGAAAGAGUAAUGAAACAACCCAGUUAAGCACUAAAGAGCAGAGAACACCCCUCGUACCUUUUGCAUCAUGAUUUAGCCAGUAAACCUUAAGCAAAAAGCAUUAUAGUUUGACACCCCGAAAACUAAGCGAGCUACUCCAAGACAGUCUAAUUUAUAGGACCACCCCGUCUCUGUGGCAAAAGAGUGGGACGARCUUUGAGUAGAGUGAUAGACCUACCGAGCCUAGUUAUAGCUGGUUGCCUGARAACUGAAUAGAAGUUCAGCCCUUUAAAUUCUUCCUCCCUGCUGGUCCAAGACCUUACACCGAACAAAAGAAAUUAAAGGAGUUAGUCAAAGGGGGUACAGCCCCUUUGAAACAAGACACAACUUUCCAAGGAGGAUAAAGAUCAUAACAAACUUAAAGGUCAAAUGUUUUAGUGGGCCUAAAAGCAGCCAUCCACCCAGAAAGCGUUAAAGCUCAAACAUACACAAUCACCUUCCGAUACAGACAACACAAUCUUACCCCCCUAAGCCUAUCAGGCCAUUCCAUAUAAAUAUGGAAGCGUUUAUGCUAAAAUGAGUAAUAAGAGAACCCCCUUCUCUCCCCGCACAAGUGUAAGUCGGAACGAACCAUUCACCGACCAUUAACGGCCCCAAAACAAAGAGGGCACUAGACAAAAAAUAAACAACUAGAAAACCACCUAGCCCCCCACCGUUGACCCCACACUGGUGUGCCAGCCGGGAAAGACUAAAAGAAAAAGAAGGAACUCGGCAAACACAAGCCUCGCCUGUUUACCAAAAACAUCGCCUCUUGAAGCCCACAACAUAAGAGGUCCCGCCUGCCCUGUGACUAUA
rnacentral:rRNA from 1 species